rnacentral:tRNA from 1 species
UCCCUGGUGGCUCAGCUGGUAAAGCACCUGUCCACAAUGCAGGAGACCCGGGUUUGAUCCCUGGUUUGGGAA